rnacentral:lncRNA from 1 species
CACCGUAAAACCAAAAUCUUAGUUUUGCCACUGAAAAUUGAAACCAUGUCAUUGGUAUUUCUUUUCAAAUUAUUAUGUGUUUUGCCCUACACACACUGUUCAGUGCACAAAGCUUGUUAAACAUUUUUGUUUCAUUGCGGAGAUCGCAUUUUGUUCUAUCAAAACAAUAACUCUAAUCAAUAAAUAAAAGCUCAAUGUAUUAUCAUUAACACAAUAUACAAUCUGAAGGAAGUUGCACAUUACAAAUAAUAAAUGACAAUGCUAAGACCUGUCAGGUCCAAACACAAGGAGCUAGCUUAGAGCUUCCCACUAACUCCGAAUGUUCAAAUUCAGCAACACGCCAACACCAAGCCUAUAUUGGGCUGGAACUUUAUUUAACUGAAUGCAAUCAUAUGAUAUUGAUUAUCAACAUAUACAAUGUUUCAAGGGCUGGUGGAAAAUGUAGGUGGAGAGAAAAUUGGGGGAAAUGAUGAGGAGAUUGGGGGAAUAGGAGGUAAUCUGUACUCUGGAUAUGGAGUGAUGGGCAAGAUGGGAGUAUCAAGCAAAGGGGGCAAAUCCAGGCCGGGGAUGGAGGGCAAACCGGAAGGAGUCUGCAAAAGGCGGCGAGCUCCUAGGGUUACAUCGAUGCUUGAGAAAGAUAGUGUGAUGAAGAAAGUUAAAAUGACGAAAUGGGAAGUAGCCAUCACUUUCCAAAGAAAGAAGAUGAUUGCUUAGUAACGUAUAAAAAUAAAGAACUAAUCUUUAUGAUGU